AACUACGUUUGUUAUUGGUAUGAGCUUUCAUGUGCAUGCACACUUCUUCAGACACACUUCUUCGUGUGCAUGCACACGAAAGCUCAUACCAAUAACAAACUUAGUUGG